GAUGAACGCUGGCGGCGUGCUUAACACAUGCAAGUCGAACGGGAAACCUUUUAUUGCAGCUUCGGCAGAUUUAGCUGGUUUCUAGUGGCGGACGGGUGAGUAACGCGUGGGUAACCUGCCUUAUACAGGGGGAUAACAGUCAGAAAUGGCUGCUAAUACCGCAUAAGCGCACAGAGCUGCAUGGCUCAGUGUGAAAAACUCCGGUGGUAUAAGAUGGACCCGCGUUGGAUUAGCUGGUUGGUGGGGUAACGGCCCACCAAGGCGACGAUCCCUAGCCGGCCUGAGAGGGUGAACGGCCACAGUGGGACUGAGACACGGCCCAGACUCCUACGGGAGGGAGCAGUGGGGAAUAUUGCACAAUGGGGGAAACCCUGAUGCAGCGACGCCGCGUGAAGGAAGAAGUAUCUCGGGAUGUAAACUUCUAUAAGCAGGGAAGAUAAUGACGGUACCUGACGAAGAAGCCCCGGCUAACUACGUG
rnacentral:rRNA from 1 species